GAUGAACGCUGGCUACAGGCUUAACACAUGCAAGUCGAGGGGAAACGACGGGGAAGCUUGCUUCCCCGGGCGUCGACCGGCGCACGGGUGAGUAACGCGUAUCCAACCUGCCUCUGACUGAGGGAUAACCCGUCGAAAGUCGGCCUAAUACCUCAUGGUAUCGUCUGCGGGCAUCCAACGACGAUUAAAGAUUUCAUCGGUCAGGGAUGGGGAUGCGUCUGAUUAGCUUGUUGGCGGGGUAACGGCCCACCAAGGCUACGAUCAGUAGGGGUUCUGAGAGGAAGGUCCCCCACAUUGGAACUGAGACACGGUCCAAACGCCUACGGGAGGCAGCAGUGAGGAAUAUUGGUCAAUGGGCGAGAGCCUGAACCAGCCAAGUAGCGUGCAGGAAGACGGCCCUAUGGGGUGUAAACUGCUUUUAUGCGGGGAUAAAGUGAGGGACGUGUCCCUCAUUGCAGGUACCGCAGGAAUAAGGACCGGCUAAUUCCGU
rnacentral:rRNA from 1 species